GGUCGGAUGGCUGAGUGGUUAGGCGAGAGUACGCAAUGCUCUUUACAGUGGUUCAAAUCCAUUUCCGACCU
rnacentral:tRNA from 2 species